GACGAACGCUGGCGGCGUGCCUAAUACAUGCAAGUAGAACGCUGAAGAGAGGAGCUUGCUCUUCUUGGAUGAGUUGCGAACGGGUGAGUAACGCGUAGGUAACCUGCCUUGUAGCGGGGGAUAACUAUUGGAAACGAUAGCUAAUACCGCAUAACAAUGGAUGACCCAUGUCAUUUAUUUGAAAGGGGCAAAUGCUCCACUACAAGAUGGACCUGCGUUGUAUUAGCUAGUAGGUGAGGUAACGGCUCACCUAGGCGACGAUACAUAGCCGACCUGAGAGGGUGAUCGGCCACACUGGGACUGAGACACGGCCCAGACUCCUACGGGAGGCAGCAGUAGGGAAUCUUCGGCAAUGGGGGCAACCCUGACCGAGCAACGCCGCGUGAGUGAAGAAGGUUUUCGGAUCGUAAAGCUCUGUUGUAAGUCAAGAACGAGUGUGAGAGUGGAAAGUUCACACUGUGACGGUAGCUUACCAGAAAGGGGCGGCUAACUACGUG
rnacentral:rRNA from 1 species